GACGAACGCUGGCGGCGUGCUUAACACAUGCAAGUCGAACGGAAAGGCCCUGCUUGCAGGGUACUCGAGUGGCGAACGGGUGAGUAACACGUGGGUGAUCUGCCCUGCUCUUCGGGAUAAGCUUGGGAGACUGGGUCUAAUACCGGAUAGGAGCCAUCUUUAGUGUGGUGGUUGGAAAGUUUUUUCGGUGUAGGAUGAGCUCGCGGCCUAUCAGCUUGUUGGUGGGGUAAUGGCCUACCAAGGCGGCGACGGGUAGCCGGCCUGAGAGGGUGUACGGCCACAUCGGGACUGAGCUACGGCCCAGACUCCUACGGGAGGCAGCAGUGGGGAAUAUUGCACAAUGGGCGCAAGCCUGAGGCAGGGACGCCGCGUGGGCGAUGAAGGCCUUCGGGUUGUAAACACCUGUCGCUAGGGAAGAAGCUUUGUUGUGACGGUACCUAGAUAAGAAGCACCGGCUAACUACGUG
rnacentral:rRNA from 1 species